UGAUGUUAUCGAAUAUCUGUCAGGUUAUCGGCUGACUCGGUUUUGGCGUCAGAAAGGUUGUGACUUUACUGUGCAAAGUACCUAUAGGUGAAAGAAAGUGCCCUACGCGCAGUUAGCUAUGGGCAACUGCGGCGUUUCGCCUGUCAUCUUUAUCCUGCUCCUCGCCAGUACAGCUUCAGCACCAACACCACGCCUUCUCAAUCUGGUCACAGGAGUCACCACCGGCUUAGAGGUACCUCGAGACCUGAUCGCCAGCACGGGAAUAGGAACUGGUGCUAUGCAGCUAGUGAUAAACGUGUACACUGACAGCCAGGGAAAUAUUGAGGUGUAUACGAAUUAGGUGAAAUGUUGUUCAAUACUUAUGAUAGUGAUGCCAAAAUAAAUGCUAAUAAUAAUGGAAAAAGAUGCAAAAAGGACAAUGAAAUCAUUAAAAUAACUAAACUUAUAUGACGACGUACAGAUAGAGCCUAAACUGGUUUUAAAUUUUGAUAAUAAUUUUUAAAGUAUAUAGAUCAAACCUGAAAAUAUAGAGGAAACAAUAAUAAUAUGCAGCAACAGCACGACCAUAAUAUGAUCUUAAAAUCUAAAAUGUAGAUAAUGGAGGCCAAAGACAACUAAUACGCAGUAACGAUGAUAAUAUUACAAACGAUAAUGAAGUUAAUGCCGCGAUUUUAGAGACCAUUAGCACUAAAAGCUUGUUGUAACAGUCUAAAGUGAAGAGACACUCCACGUUAAAUAUUCAAGAGUCGAUUACCAAAAAUCCAGCUCUCGGGGAAAGCUUAAAUCGUUGGACGCACGUGCCUCAGCAGAAAUGGUGCUAAACAGCGAACCAUCCGAAAUAUUAAGCAAGCGAGUCUGUCAAAUUGAGAGUAUGCUCACAAUCUCAACACAGAUUUAUGGAGGAAAUAUAGGGGGUGUUGUGGAACACAUUUCUGAAAGCUUGAGUGCAUAUUUUCACUAUACACGUAUUCGUUCAGUACACAUGUUUUUUCAGUAGUAAUUAGAAAAGCAUUGUGACUAUAAUCAAGUCAUAAAAAUUUCUAAGCAAUAACUCGAUAUCUGUGAAAGGUAUUUUUAGUUUAUUUAAAAAUAUGCUUAUUUUGUAUUUAAUGUGAUAGCGAACACUUGGAUGGUGAUUAACAAAUCAUAGAAGUAAGGUUGUAAGUCGAUACAAAUAAUAAUAGUUAGUUCCAUAACUACAAAGGCAGCAGAAAUUUGAAACAUGCCUACUAUCUUUCUUUCUUUAAAAUCCUCGCGACUCUGUUCUACAACUUAGAGAUUUUCAAGUCAAUAGGACUCGCGCGCACCAUCUUAGACCUCAUCUUCCUUAGCAUCGGACAGAUUAAGGUCAAACACACUCAAAUUUUCAACGGACACAAAUCUGUGGCUCGUCUGAAAAUUAAGAAGUCCCUUCUCAAGUUAUUUUAGUAAAAAGAGAUCAAACGAGCUCGCACGAUGCCGGUUCAUUGCGAUCGAAUUCGAGUGCUCACAAAACACCUAACAAUAUUGCUAUCAAACGUAUUGUUAAGAGCGGAGGAUUGAAUGACACGUAUACUGUAAACGGUGAAGUAAUAUUGCCUUUGAUAGGUACUGAGAAUUUACGAGCGAGAUACUAAAGAACGUGAAGGGAAACGCACGAAGUAAAGUACAUUGAUAGGUAAAGUAGUAUAAAGUGGAUUGAUAUAUAAAGUGGAAUGCACUUUAAGUAGCUAACAAUAAUGUCUAUAGUUAAACCAAUGACAUAUAUGAAGUGAAGUGUGUACUAAAACAAAGACUAUAGUAAAACUAUUGACUAUAUUACAUCUAUCAUUUUAGUUAUA